AGUUAUUUUAUCACAGUGAGAAAUAUGUAUUUAUUAAUAAAUAAAAAUUAAAAAGCAAUGUUAAAAUAUAUAUCAAAUUGUUGUUGGUUUCAAAGUCAUAGAAGUAUAUCAUUGUGUUAUUGCAAUUCUUUGAAGCAUCCUAAUGGAAAGUGCAUUUAAAUUGAAGUUGCUGCAUAAUUAAGGCAACGUUGUAUAAUUCUUAAUAAUUAUCACUCUUGGAUAUCCAAAAGGUCUAUCAUGAGUUUAAAUGAUAAAUGUGAUGUGUGUUUGUUAAGGGCAUUGUAAACUUUGUUCCUGUUUUUUGCUUUUUAUUUGAAUUGCUUCCCUCUCUAAAUUGUUAAACAUGAUAUAUAUCAUUUUCAAGAAACAGACUUAAAACGUGUAAUUUUUCGUAGUCAAGCAUACAUAGAAAAAUAAUUGUAUGUGAUGUCAAAGUAUUAAUUUGAAAAAUGUAAGUAAAUGAUCAUUGAGGUGUAGUCAUCUUUAAUGAUAAUCCUAUAAACCGGAAAAACUGCAAAAAUAGACUUGUUUUGUUCACUACUACAGUUCAGGCUAAUUUUCUUCUGCAUAUGAUUUGAAGCCCUCUCAAUAUUGAAAAUACACAAUAGACUGCCUAAUUUUACCUAGUUGUUGUUUAGUUCUUUGUUUUUUAAGGAAAACAAAUCAUACAAAAAGGUGGACAUAGGGUCUCGAAAUUGUUUCGCUCACUCUUACAAUGAAUGGUACAAAAGGACAAAACCAAUCACGUGAUAUGAAGUAUAUGAGUCAAAAUCAAUAUGAAUGUAAAUAUUCAUUAUAAAAUGAUAAAUAAGAUUAACAUACUUUGUAUUUUUUUCUUCAACGUAGAAAACAAGUAAAACAAUAACAUUUAAAUGAAUCUUCAUUUAUAAAAAAUCAAACGUAAUACAUUGCAUAGUUCAAUUGCUUUUUAUAUAACCUUACGAAUAUACGUAAGCCAUGAUUGGCACUCUA
rnacentral:lncRNA from 1 species